rnacentral:rRNA from 1 species
AGAGUUUGAUCCUGGCUCAGGAUGAACGCUGGCGGCGUGCCUAAUACAUGCAAGUCGAGCGAACGGACGAGAAGCUUGCUUCUCUGAUGUUAGCGGCGGACGGGUGAGUAACACGUGGAUAACCUACCUAUAAGACUGGGAUAACUUCGGGAAACCGGAGCUAAUACCGGAUAAUAUUUUGAACUGCAUGGUUCAAAAGUGAAAGACGGUCUUGCUGUCACUUAUAGAUGGAUCCGCGCUGCAUUAGCUAGUUGGUAAGGUAACGGCUUACCAAGGCAACGAUGCAUAGCCGACCUGAGAGGGUGAUCGGCCACACUGGAACUGAGACACGGUCCAGACUCCUACGGGAGGCAGCAGUAGGGAAUCUUCCGCAAUGGGCGAAAGCCUGACGGAGCAACGCCGCGUGAGUGAUGAAGGUCUUCGGAUCGUAAAACUCUGUUAUUAGGGAAGAACAUAUGUGUAAGUAACUGUGCACAUCUUGACGGUACCUAAUCAGAAAGCCACGGCUAACUACGUGCCAGCAGCCGCGGUAAUACGUAGGUGGCAAGCGUUAUCCGGAAUUAUUGGGCGUAAAGCGCGCGUAGGCGGUUUUUUAAGUCUGAUGUGAAAGCCCACGGCUCAACCGUGGAGGGUCAUUGGAAACUGGAAAACUUGAGUGCAGAAGAGGAAAGUGGAAUUCCAUGUGUAGCGGUGAAAUGCGCAGAGAUAUGGAGGAACACCAGUGGCGAAGGCGACUUUCUGGUCUGUAACUGACGCUGAUGUGCGAAAGCGUGGGGAUCAAACAGGAUUAGAUACCCUGGUAGUCCACGCCGUAAACGAUGAGUGCUAAGUGUUAGGGGGUUUCCGCCCCUUAGUGCUGCAGCUAACGCAUUAAGCACUCCGCCUGGGGAGUACGACCGCAAGGUUGAAACUCAAAGGAAUUGACGGGGACC